rnacentral:rRNA from 1 species
CAACACGUAAAGAACCUGCCCAUAGGUCUGGGAUAACCACGAGAAAUCGGGGCUAAUACCGGAUGUGUCAUCGGACCGCAUGGUCCGCUGAUGAAAGGCGCUUCGGCGUCGCCCAUGGAUGGCUUUGCGGUGCAUUAGCUAGUUGGUGGGGUAACGGCCCACCAAGGCGACGAUGCAUAGCCGACCUGAGAGGGUGAUCGGCCACACUGGGACUGAGACACGGCCCAGACUCCUACGGGAGGCAGCAGUA